rnacentral:rRNA from 1 species
UACGUAGGGGGCAAGCGUUGCCCGGAUUUAUUGGGCGUAAAGAGCGUGUAGGCGGCCAGACAGGUCAGCUGUGAAAACUCGAGGCUCAACCUCGAGACGUCGGUUGAAACCGUCUGGCUAGAGUCCGGAAGAGGAGAGUGGAAUUCCCGGUGUAGCGGUGAAAUGCGCAGAUAUCGGGAGGAACACCUGUGGCGAAAGCGGCUCACUGGACCAUAACUGACGCUGAUGCACGAAAGCUAGGGGAGCAAACAGG